CAGGAUCACAGAAAGAUAAACGUCCAGUUGACUCUUAAAGGAAUCCAGAGUACACACUUAGGUUUUGGGAGCAGCAGUGUCCAGUGUUGUCACAAAUAGGAGCCUUAAUGCAUCAGCACUAGUUUCUGCUGCAGUCAAUAGGAGUCUUUCCACUGACUUCAGAGAAAGCUGGACUGAGCUCCUGAGAAACAUCACUGGCCUGUUGGGACUGAAGGCAUGGAAAAAGUUAAACAUAUGUGUGUCUGCAAGAGCAGACCCUUGGAAUAAAAGCUGUUUGGAACAGGCACUGACUCGUCUUGGUUUGGACAAGCGCCUAGUAAACUCUGGAUGCAAUCACUAGUUAAUGUAAACAUAGUAUCUAUUUUUUGGGUGGACAGCUGUGUCAGGCACGUGAAGAGAUUUUCCAGGGACUUUUCUAGAAUUUUUUCUCCCCUCACAUGUGAUUAUCAUGUGUGUGAGACUAAUCAUAUGUGACUAUGCCGUUAUAUAUUUUAAAUGUAAAUAUGCUAGACCCAAAGCUGGACUUAUGGACCAUAUAGCACAUGCCAUUGCUGAACAAUCAAGUGCAACAGUGUGCCUAGAGGUAUGGAAAGGCUCAUUUCAAUGGUUCUUGACUUUUUUCAAAGUGGCUUAAAUAUAAGGACUACCUCCCUCCCCCCACAAUCAGGUAGAGGAGCUGCAAGGCAGUUAUAACUUAUGUCAGCUUGUACCUACCCCUUUCUCCCUGUACCUCUUCCUUCUGCUUUCCUAUGCACUGAUCAUCACUCACUCCACCUUAUACUGUAUGUUGUCCUUUCACUGCAUAGUUAGUUUAUAAAGGUGCAUAUCUACCCUGCCUUCAUCUUGUAACCCCUACAUAAGAUGAUCAGAGUGAUAGCCUUCCCACCUACAGAUGCUCCCAGCAUGUCCUCUACAGCUAUAGAACUGGAUAAAGACUGCACGGUCUGGAUGCCAUACUAUUUGGGGUUUCCCAUGCACUAGGGAAAUCCCUAGCUGUCCAGUUCAGGCACCAUUAGGGCUGCUGUGUGUUGCAGGACCAUCAAAAACCAAUUUAUUCUUCAUAUUUUCAGUAGAUAUUUUACAUAUGGAAAGGGAUGUGUUGCCCUCAGCAGGAAACCUGAAUGAGGUAUAAUGCUAUACCAGGAUAACUGGAAAUGAUACAAUUUCAGGAGAACUCAAAAUAGCAACAACUAAAGUAAGUUCAGUGUAAAUUACUUUUGGUUUAAUGGAAGCAAUGGGCACAGGACAAAGUGGAAACACAGACUUCAAACUGGUUUUCAAGAAAAAGUGUCUCCAUUUCAAGUACUAUUUGAAGAGAGAAGAACACUAAUAAAUGGCCUGAUACUCUAAAUGUGUACUCAUCUAAAACAGUCCCAUGUGGAUUUCUUGAAUGAGCAAGUUGUGCAGUGGGUAUAAAGCUACCAUUCAUAAUUGUAACCCUUCAUCAGAUGUGUCCGGUGCACAAUUAGAGAACAUUAUGAAUAAGAACCUUUUACUUGCAGAGGUGCUAACCCUGAUAAGAUAACAUGAGACGCAUCCACUUACAAAAAAUUAAGCUAGAAACAGUGUUAGUCUUUAUGUUUUCUGAUUGGAUACUGGACCUUUUCUGCCUGAUGAAGAGUAAAAUUGGCCUUGAAGACGUCCUUGAAGUGCUUUCUUUACC